AGUAAGGUGGCUGAGUAUAAGCAGAAGAUUGUAGCUCUUCCAACGAACUAAUAUUCCCUUACUA
rnacentral:tRNA from 1 species